UCAGGCCUAACACAUGCAAGUCGAGCGGAAACGAGUUAACUGAACCUUCGGGGAACGUUAACGGCGUCGAGCGGCGGACGGGUGAGUAAUGCCUGGGAAAUUGCCCUGAUGUGGGGGAUAACCAUUGGAAACGAUGGCUAAUACCGCAUAAUAGCUUCGGCUCAAAGAGGGGGACCUUCGGGCCUCUCGCGUCAGGAUAUGCCCAGGUGGGAUUAGCUAGUUGGUGAGGUAAUGGCUCACCAAGGCGACGAUCCCUAGCUGGUCUGAGAGGAUGAUCAGCCACACUGGAACUGAGACACGGUCCAGACUCCUACGGGAGGCAGCAGUGGGGAAUAUUGCACAAUGGGCGCAAGCCUGAUGCAGCCAUGCCGCGUGUAUGAAGAAGGCCUUCGGGUUGUAAAGUACUUUCAGCAGUGAGGAAGGCGGAGUCGUUAAUAGCGGCCUCGUUUGACGUUAGCUGCAGAAGAAGCACCGGCUAACUCCGUGCCAGCAGCCGCGGUAAUACGGAGGGUGCGAGCGUUAAUCGGAAUUACUGGGCGUAAAGCGCAUGCAGGUGGUUUGUUAAGUCAGAUGUGAAAGCCCGGGGCUCAACCUCGGAAUUGCAUUUGAAACUGGCAGACUAGAGUACUGUAGAGGGGGGUAGAAUUUCAGGUGUAGCGGUGAAAUGCGUAGAGAUCUGAAGGAAUACCGGUGGCGAAGG
rnacentral:rRNA from 1 species